ACAAAAAUUAUUAAUCAUACAUCAUGUCAUCACUUUGCCUUAAUUUGUUGGUUAAUAUAGAGCAUAUGUUGGCUAAUAAAAAGAAGAAGAAGAAACUA
rnacentral:sRNA from 1 species